rnacentral:rRNA from 1 species
CAGCAGCCACGGGAAUACGGAGGGUGCAAGCGUUAAUCGGAAUUACUGGGCGUAAAGCGCACGCAGGCGGUUUGUUAAGUCAGAUGUGAAAUCCCCGAGCUUAACUUGGGAACUGCAUUUGAAACUGGCAAGCUAGAGUCUUGUAGAGGGGGGUAGAAUUCCAGGUGUAGCGGUGAAAUGCGUAGAGAUCUGGAGGAAUACCGGUGGCGAAGGCGGCCCCCUGGACAAAGACUGACGCUCAGGUGCGAAAGCGUGGGGAGCAAACAGGAUUAGAUACCCGGGUAGUCCCUGUCUCUUAUAA